UACCCGCGCCCCUAGUGGUGGUCGAUAUUAUUGAGCCUAAAACGUCCGUAGCCGGUCUUCUAAAUCCUUGGGUAAGUCGGGCAGCUUAACUGUCCGAAGUCCGGGGAGACUGGGAGACUUGGGACCGGGAGAGGUCAGAGGUACUUCUGGGGUAGGGGUAAAAUCCUGUAAUCCUGGAAGGGCCGCCGGUGGCGAAGGCGUCUGACUAGAACGGAUCCGACGGUGAGGGACGAAGCCCUGGGGCGCAAACGGG
rnacentral:rRNA from 1 species